rnacentral:lncRNA from 1 species
GUAGCCUCAACCUCCAAUUCAAGAAAUUACUUUAAUUCCUUAGUGGGUACUAGAAUCCACACAGACUACACACGAGCCCAACUUUGGUUGGUCAACCCAUGUGCAUCUAUGGGUAGGUUCAUAACCAGUUGUUUCUCUAAACAACUUCUAGUAAUUGGUUUUGCCCCAGAACCUAAUCAGUAGGCUUUGGCCUCCACUGAAAAGAUCUGAUUAGGUCCAACCAUUAACAU